rnacentral:tRNA from 1 species
UCCGUGAUGGUCCAGUGGCCAAGACUCCGCUCUCACAAUGCAGGGGGCCUGGGUUCAAUCCCUGGUCAGGGAA